CACGUAGGAGGCGAGCGUUGUCCGGAAUCAUUGGGCGUAAAGAGCGCGCAGGCGGCUUGGCAAGUCGGGUGUGAAAUCCCGGGGCUCAACCCCGGGACUGCAUUCGAUACUGUCAGGCUAGAGGUAGGUAGGGGAGAUCGGAAUUCCUGGUGUAGCGGUGAAAUGCGCAGAUAUCAGGAGGAACACCGGUGGCGAAGGCGGCUCACUGGACCGGUUCUGACGCUGAGGCGCGAAAGCGUGGGGAGCAAACAGG
rnacentral:rRNA from 1 species